rnacentral:rRNA from 1 species
CUACGUGCCAGCAGCCGCGGUAAUACAGAGGGUGCAAGCGUUAAUCGGAAUUACUGGGCGUAAAGCGAGCGUAGGUGGUCAUUUAAGUCAGAUGUGAAAUCCCCGGGCUUAACCUGGGAACUGCAUCUGAUACUGGGUGACUAGAGUAGGUGAGAGGGAAGUAGAAUUCCAGGUGUAGCGGUGAAAUGCGUAGAGAUCUGGAGGAAUACCGAUGGCGAAGGCAGCUUCCUGGCAUCAUACUGACACUGAGGUUCGAAAGCGUGGGUAGCAAACAGGAUUAGAUACCCUGGUAGUCCACGCCGUAAACGAUGUCUACCAGUCGUUGGGUCUCUUGAAGACUUAGUGACGCAGUUAACGCGAUAAGUAGACCGCCUGGGGAGUACGGCCGCAAGGUUAAAACUCAAAUGAAUUGACGGGGGCCCGCACAAGCGGUGGAGCAUGUGGUUUAAUUCGAUGCAACGCGAAGAACCUUACCUGGUCUUGACAUACACAGAAUCUUGCAGAGAUGCGAGAGUGC